GAUGAACGCUGGCGGCGUGCCUAAUACAUGCAAGUCGAGCGAACAGACGAGGAGCUUGCUCCUCUGACGUUAGCGGCGGACGGGUGAGGAACACGUGGAUAACCUACCUAUAAGACUGGGAUAACUUCGGGAAACCGGAGCUAAUACCGGAUAAUAUAUUGAACCGCAUGGUUCAAUAGUGAAAAACGGUUUUUCUGUCACUUAUAGAUGGAUCCGCGCCGCAUUAGCCAGUUGGUAAGGUAACGGCUUACCAAGGCAACGAUGCGUAGCCGACCUGAGAGGGUGAUCGGCCACACUGGAACUGAGACACGGUCCAGACUCCUACGGGAGGCAGCAGUAGGGAAUCUUCCGCAAAGGGCGAAAGCCUGACGGAGCAACGCCGCGUGAGUGAUGAAGGUCUUCGGAUCGUAAAACUCUGUUAUUAGGGAAGAACAAAUGUGUAAGUAACUAUGCACGUCUUGACGGUACCUAAUCAGAAAGCCACGGCUAACUACGUG
rnacentral:rRNA from 1 species